UUUCNGUAGUGAACCUGCGGAAGGAUCAUUA
rnacentral:rRNA from 1 species